GAUGAAGAACGCAGCGAAAUGCGAUAAGUAAUGUGAAUUGCAGAAUUCAGUGAAUCAUCGAAUCUUUGAACGCACAUUGCGCCCCUUGGUAUUCCGAGGGGCAUGCCUGUUCGAGCGUCAUUAUAACCCCUCAAGCUCAGCUUGGUGUUGGGGCCUGUUGCACUGGCAGCCCUUAAAAUCAGUGGCGGCGCCAUCUGGCUCUAAGCGUAGUAAUUCUUCUCGCUAUGGAGUCCUGGUGGAUGCUUGCCAUCAACCCCCAAUUUUUCUAUGGUUGACCUCGGAUCAGGUAGGGAUACCCGCUGAACUUAAGCAUAUCAAUAAGCGGAGGA
rnacentral:misc_RNA from 1 species